GGGCCCGCACAAGCAGUGGAGCAUGUGGUUUAAUUCGACGAUACGCGAAGAACCUUACCAAGACUUGACAUCCGCAGAAUCUUCUAGAGAUAGAGGAGUGCCUUCGGGAACUGCGUGACAGGUGGUGCAUGGCUGUCGUCAGCUCGUGUCGUGAGAUGUUGGGUUAAGUCCCGCAACGAGCGAAACCCUUGUCUUAUGUUACCAGCACGUUAUGGUGGGGACUCAUAAGAGACUGCCCGUGGAAAGCGGGAGGAAGGUGAGGACGACGUCAAGUCAUCAUGCCCCUUACGUCUUGGGCCACACACAUGCUACAAUGGCCGGUACAAUGAGUCGCGAAGCCGCGAGGUGGAGCCAAUCUCAAAAAACCGGUCUCAGUUCGGAUUGUAGUCUGUAACUCGACUACAUGAAGUCGGAAUU
rnacentral:rRNA from 1 species